rnacentral:rRNA from 1 species
AGUGAACGCUGGCGGUAGGCCUAACACAUGCAAGUCGAACGGCAGCACAGUAAGAGCUUGCUCUUACGGGUGGCGAGUGGCGGACGGGUGAGGAAUACAUCGGAAUCUACUUUUUCGUGGGGGAUAACGUAGGGAAACUUACGCUAAUACCGCAUACGACCUACGGGUGAAAGCAGGGGAUCUUCGGACCUUGCGCGAUUGAAUGAGCCGAUGUCGGAUUAGCUAGUUGGCGGGGUAAAGGCCCACCAAGGCGACGAUCCGUAGCUGGUCUGAGAGGAUGAUCAGCCACACUGGAACUGGGACACGGUCCAGAUUCCUACGGGAGGCAGCAGUGGGGAAUAUUGGACAAUGGGCGCAAGCCUGAUCCAGCCAUACCGCGUGGGUGAAGAAGGCCUUCGGGUUGUAAAGCCCUUUUGUUGGGAAAGAAAAGCAGCAGGUUAAUACCCCGCUGUUCUGACGGUACCCAAAGAAUAAGCACCGGCUAACUUCGUG